rnacentral:lncRNA from 1 species
CCCACCCAAAAAUUAAAAAAAAAAAAAAAAAAGUUUUAGAUUUAUUUUUUCAUUUGUUAAAAACAAUUUUUGCAAUUUUCAUUACUUGGUACUUAAAACACAAUCAACGUUCAGAAACCUGAAUGUCACUGAAACUGAAUUCAUGUUAUGCAGAAAUGAAAUGGAAGCUGGGUAGUCUCCUUCACCCAUAGCUGUCCUAAAACGUGUCCAGAAAUAUGGUUAGGCAGGUAAAAAUUAUGAUAAAAAAUAAUUAAAAUAAUAAACAAGUAAGAUUAGCAGCUGGCUAGCUGGGCGAACUACUACCAAUGCUUCUAGGUUGAUGAUUAGUUAAUUUUAUAAACAAGUAAGAUUAGCAGCUGGCUAGCUGGGCGAACUACUACCAAUGCUUCUAGGUUGAUGAUUAGUUAAUUUUAAAAAAGGGGUCAUAAUUGGAAAUUGGAAAAGAAAAUAACAAUCUGAAUGAUAUUGAAAGAAACCAGUUAGAGAUUUGUACUGUCCAGGAAAUUAUCCCAAAAGGGUUGAUAUCUAGUGCCCUCUUCUCCUUGA